rnacentral:rRNA from 1 species
UACGUAGGCAGCAAGCGUUGUUCGGAGUUACUGGGCGUAAAGGGUGUGUAGGCGGUUGCUUAAGUUUGGUGUGAAAUCUCCCGGCUCAACUGGGAGGGUGCGCCGAAUACUGAGUGACUCGAGUGCGGGAGAGGAAAGUGGAAUUCCUGGUGUAGCGGUGAAAUGCGUAGAUAUCAGGAGGAACACCGGUGGUGUAGACGGCUUUCUGGACCGUAACUGACGCUGAAACACGAAAAGCGUGGGUAGCAAACAGG